GCCACGGGCAGCUCAGACACAGCGAGCCACCCAUCUCUUUCCUUGGAAAAGAUCAGGUUUUGGCUCGUUUGGCUCCCUAACCUGUCUCGAAGCUGGCUGUGGGAGCUGAAGGGAUGCAGGGCCAAGGGGCAGAGGAGAGCAGCAGUGUCCCCGCCUUGUCCCUGGCCUCAGCGUGGCGGCAAUGUGGCAGUGAGAGAUGCUGGAAGAAAAGCGGUGUCUGACAGCACUGUCCCCAGGCUUAGAGAGGGCGUUUAGCCUAACUUUUCAUUUGGGAUCAGCUCAGGCAUCGCACACAGGUUCUAUCUGGGUUUUCAGCAUCCAGUUCCCUUGGCUGACUUGUCAGAAAAGCAGCAAGAUGCAAAAUAUUUGUAAAGGACACCCUCGCUGUUUCCCAGCAUGUUUCCGUCAAUACUGAAGGACCAUGUGGCGUGACUGCUGCCCA
rnacentral:lncRNA from 1 species